CACCGGAGUUGCUCUAAAAAGUUGCUAAACGUUAUCGAAUGAAUGAGGGGCGGACCGGAUGUUGUCCGUCUUCUCUGAUUCGCUUUGGGGGCAGUAUGGUGUUGUAACCGGCAAACAUAGCACUAUAAACACUGAAUUUGGUUUGAAUGUCCGAAUUGGGACAUAGCCACGUUAAGACCCUGGCCUGAAGGAAAGAGCCUAGCGCCAGACCGUGUAUAUUCCUAAGCAGAGGCUGGAGCGACUCGUCCCACUCUCUGACGGAUACUGAAGGUCUGUACUACUGUCCGAAGGCCCCUGCAAGCGAGGAUUAUAAAACGACCCCACCGUGGUCGGCCGGCAGAGUGUGUAGAGAGGAGCCUAGCUGGGCUCCCUGGGCUCCACCACCAUGGGUCUGCUAACCUACCUGAAGAGCCUCUUCAUCCUGCAGCUGCUGAUGGGCUUCGUGUUCGUCGUGAGCGGCCUCAUCAUCAACUUCAUCCAGCUCUGCACCUGUGUCCUCUGGCCCUUCAACAAGCAGCUGUACCGCCGGAUCAACUGCCGGCUCUCCUAUUCUCUCUGGAGCCGUGAGUGUCCCAACGCCUCACCCAC